GAUGAACGCUGGCGGCGUGCCUAAUACAUGCAAGUCGAGCGAAUGGAUUAAGAGUUUGCUCUUAUGAAGUUAGCGGCGGACGGGUGAGUAACACGUGGGUAACCUGCCCAUAAGACUGGGAUAACUCCGGGAAACCGGGGCUAAUACCGGAUAACAUUUUGAACCGCAUGGUUCGAAAUUGAAAGGCGGCUUCGGCUGUCACUUAUGGAUGGACCCGCGUCGCAUUAGCUAGUUGGUGAGGUAACGGCUCACCAAGGCAACGAUGCGUAGCCGACCUGAGAGGGUGGUCGGCCACACUGGGACUGAGACACGGCCCAGACUCCUACGGGAGGCAGCAGUAGGGAAUCGUCCGCAAUGGACGAAAGUCUGACGGAGCAACGCCGCGUGAGUGACGAAGGCUUUCGGGUCGUAAAACUCUGUUGUUAGGGAAGAACAAGUGCUAGUUGAAUAAGCUGGCACCUUGACGGUACCUAACCAGAAAGCCACGGCUAACUACGUGCCAGCAGCCGCGGUAA
rnacentral:rRNA from 1 species